rnacentral:rRNA from 1 species
GAUGAACGCUGGCGGCGUGCCUAAUACAUGCAAGUCGAGCGAAUGGAUUAAGAGCUUGCUCUUUGAAGUUAGCGGCGGACGGGUGAGUAACACGUGGGUAACCUGCCCAUAAGACUGGGAUAACUCCGGGAAACCGGGGCUAAUACCGGAUAACAUUUUGAACCGCAUGGUUCGAAAUUGAAAGGAGGCUUCGGCUGUCACUUAUGGAUUGACCCGCGUCGCAUUAGCUAGUUGGUGAGGUAACGGCUAACCAAGGCAACGAUGCGGAGCCGACCUGAGAGGGUGAUCGGCCACACUGGGACUGAGACACGGCCCAGACUCCUACGGGAGGCAGCAGUAGGGAAUCUUCCGCAAGGGACGAAAGUCUGACGGAGCAACGCCGCGUGAGUGAUGAAGGCUUUCGGGUCGUAAAACUCUGUUGUUAGGGAAGAACAAGUGCUAGUUGAAUAAGCUGGCACCUUGACGGUACCUAACCAGAAAGCCACGGCUAACUACGUGCCAGCCGCCGCAGUAA